UACAGAGGGGGCAAGCGUUGUUCGGAAUUACUGGGCGUAAAGGGCGCGUAGGCGGCCUUCUAAGUCGAACGUGAAAUCCCCGGGCUCAACCCGGGAACUGCGUCCGAUACUGGAAGGCUUGAAUCCGGGAGAGGGAUGUGGAAUUCCAGGUGUAGCGGUGAAAUGCGUAGAUAUCGGGAGGAACACCUGUGGCGAAAGCGGCGCACUGGACCACAACUGACGCUGAGGCGCGAAAGCUAGGGGAGCAAACAGG
rnacentral:rRNA from 1 species